rnacentral:rRNA from 1 species
UCUUAAGGAUUAUAGUCUUAAGUAAAUCCUGCUCAAUGAAUAAACUUAAAUAGCCGCAGUUAUCCUGUGCUAAGGUAGCAUAAUCACUUGCUUUCUAAAUAAAAGAUAGAAUGAAAGGUUAAACGAUAAAAGACUUUUUAGUGUUUUAUAAUUAACUUAAUAUUAACGUAAAAAAGCAUUAAUUGAUCAACAAGACGAUAAGACCCUAAUAAACUUAUAAUUUAGUUGGGGUAACAUGAUAACAAAAUCUUAUAAAAUUAACUCAUACAUCUUAUUAAAUAAAUUUAAUCUAGUUACUAUAGGGAUAACAGCGCAAUUUCUUUCGAGAGCUCUCAUCUAAAAAGAAUAUUACGACCUCGAUGUUGAAUUAAUUUAUCUAUAAUACGCAAAAGUAUUUGUAAGACAGUCUGUUCGACUAAUAAAUAA